GGGUAGGCGUAGGCGGCUGAUUAAGUCAGCGGUGAAAGGUAGCAGCUUAACUGUUUUACAUGCCGUUGAUACUGGUUAGCUUGAGUUGACAGAAGGCAGAUAGAAUUCCUGGUGUAGCGGUGAAAUGCUUAGAUACCAGGAGGAAUACCGAUUGCGAAGGCAGUCUGCUGCAGUCACACUGACGCUGAGGCUCGAAGGUGCGGGGAUCAAACAGGAUUAGAUACCCGGGU
rnacentral:rRNA from 1 species